ACAUUCAAUUCAAUAUUCACCAAGGUAAUUAAUUAAUAAAAAAAAUAUUUUCCAUAAAAAGUUGAACGCGCCAACGCGCUUUUUCUUCUUCCCUUUUCCGAAAUUCCGCUUUGCGCACGUUAGCCACACCACCAUCCCUACAUUCUCUCUCCGUAACUGCAAAUUUUCUCUCUCACUCUUUCCACUUUUUCAACUUCCCACCGCGUUUUAGGGUUCCGAUUCCGAUUCCGAUGCAAUGAGUCUCCGCAGCCGUCAUUCUCCGCAACCAGCCUCAACUCCUCCACAUGAGGAAGAACCCUACAACAUCAUCCCCGUCCAUAACCUCCUUGCUGACCAUCCAUCACUCCGGUUCCCCGAAGUUCGUGCCGCCGCCGCUGCACUUCGUUCCGUUGGUAACCUCCGUCGUCCUCCGUUCGGUCAAUGGCGACAGCACAUGGACUUGUUAGACUGGUUAGCUCUCUUCUUCGGAUUCCAAAAAGACAACGUCCGGAACCAGCGCGAGCAUCUUGUUCUUCACCUCGCUAAUGCUCAGAUGCGUCUCACUCCGCCGCCGGAUAACAUCGAUACUCUCGAUGCCACCGUCCUCCGUCGUUUUCGUAAGAAGCUUCUGAAGAAUUACAGUUCGUGGUGUUCUUAUCUUGGUAAGAAGUCAAACAUCUGGAUCUUUGAUAACCGCCGUGGAGAACCUGAUCUCCGGCGAGAGCUUUUAUAUGUUUCACUUUACCUCCUUAUUUGGGGAGAAGCAGCGAAUUUGAGGUUUGUUCCAGAGUGCAUCUGUUACAUCUUCCACAACAUGGCGAACGAGCUGAAUAGAAUAUUGGAGGAUUACAUCGAUGAUAACACGGGGCAGCCGGUGAUGCCUUCGAUAUCUGGUGAGAAUGCUUUUUUGAACUUUGUUGUGAAGCCUAUUUAUGAUACAAUUAAGAGUGAGGUUGAUAAUAGUAGAAAUGGAACUGCUCCUCAUAGUGCUUGGAGAAAUUAUGAUGAUAUUAAUGAGUAUUUUUGGAGUAGGAGAUGUUUUGAGAAGCUUAAAUGGCCUCCUGAUGUUGGAAGCAAUUUUUUUGUGCCUGUUGGUAGUAGGGGGAAGCACGUGGGUAAAACCGGGUUUGUUGAGCAGAGAUCGUUUUGGAAUCUGUUUAGGAGUUUUGAUAGGCUUUGGAUCAUGUUGGUGUUGUUUCUUCAAGCUGCUAUAAUUGUUGCUUGGGAAGAGAGGACUUAUCCUUGGCAGGCUUUGGAGGACCGUACAGUGCAGGUUAGGGUUUUGACUAUUUUCUUCACAUGGAGUGGUAUGAGGUUUUUGCAGUCUUUACUUGACGUGGGGAUGCAGUACAAGUUGGUAUCAAGGGAGACAAAGAUGCUGGGAGUGAGGAUGGCGCUGAAAUGUAUUGUUGCUUCUGCGUGGAUUGUUGUGUUUGGAGUGUUUUAUGGGAGGAUUUGGGAGCAGAGAAACCAUGAUAGACGAUGGACCAAGGCGGCUAAUGACCGGGUACUGAAUUUUCUGGAGGCUGUGGUGGUCUUCAUCAUUCCGGAGCUUCUGGCCAUAGCCCUUUUUAUACUUCCUUGGAUUAGAAAUUUUGUGGAGAAUACAAAUUGGAGGAUCUUUUACGUGUUAUCAUGGUGGUUUCAGAGCAGAAGCUUUGUUGGCCGUGGUUUGAGAGAAGGGCUUGUAGACAACAUCAAGUAUUCGUUGUUCUGGGUUUCCGUGCUGGCCACAAAGUUUUGCUUCAGUUACUUUUUGCAGAUCAAACCCAUGAUUGCUCCAACAAAGGCAGUGUUGGACCUCAAGAAUGUUGAGUAUGAAUGGCAUGAGUUUUUCCAUCACAGCAACCGAUUUGCUGCUGGAAUAUUGUGGGUUCCAGUUGUUCUGAUUUAUCUAAUGGAUAUACAGAUUUGGUAUUCGAUACAUUCGUCUGUUGCUGGGGCGCUUGUGGGGUUGUUUGCACACCUGGGCGAGAUUCGAAAUAUGCAGCAAUUGAAAUUGAGGUUCCAGUUUUUUGCUAGUGCAAUCCAGUUUAAUCUCAUGCCCGAGGAGCAGCCGUUGAAUGCAAGACGAACGUUGAAGAGCAAGUUUAAGGAUGCCAUCCACAGGUUGAAGCUCAGGUAUGGGCUUGGUCAUCCCUAUAGGAAGCUCGAGUCUAACCAGGUUGAGGCCAACAAGUUUGCUUUGAUAUGGAACGAGAUAAUUUUGUCUUUUAGGGAGGAGGAUAUUAUCUCUGACAGAGAGGUUGAGCUGCUGGAGCUGCCACAGAACUCUUGGAAUGUCCGGGUUAUCCGCUGGCCAUGUUUUCUUCUCUGCAACGAGUUACUGCUAGCACUCAGUCAGGCUAAAGAACUAGUAAAUGAUACUGAUAAGAGGCUUUAUAAGAAGAUAUGCAGCAGUGAGUACAGACGCUGUGCUGUCAUCGAAGCAUACGAUAGUGUCAAGCACUUGCUUCAUGAGAUUAUCAAACCCAAUAGUGAAGAGCAUUCUAUUGUGACUGUUCUGUUUCAGGAAAUUGACCACUCUCUUGAGAUUGAGAAAUUCACCAACACAUUCAAAACAACUGCACUGCCCCAGCUUCACAGCAAGUUGAUAAAACUUGUCGAGUUGUUGAACAAGUCUGUCAAAGAUUCUAAUCAAGUGGUGAAUACCCUUCAGGCCCUUUAUGAGAUUGCUAUUAGAGAUCUUUUCCAGGAUCGAAGAAAUCCUAAGCAGCUAGAGGAUGAUGGCUUAGCUCCACGUAAUCCUGCUUCAGGUCUACUUUUUGAGAAUGCCGUUGAGUUGCCCGACACUAGCAAUGAGAACUUCUAUCGCCAGGUUCGGCGCUUGCACACAAUUCUUACUUCCAGGGAUUCAAUGCAAAACAUCCCAAUAAAUCUAGAGGCCAGACGAAGGAUUGCUUUCUUCAGCAACUCACUUUUUAUGUAUAUGCCCCAUGCUCCCCAAGUUGAGAAAAUGAUGGCUUUCAGUGUUCUAACACCAUAUUAUAGUGAAGAAGUAGUGUACACUAAAGAACAGCUCAGGACUGAAAAUGAAGAUGGGGUUUCAAUCCUGUACUAUUUGCAGACUAUUUAUGAUGAUGAGUGGAAGAAUUUUGUGGAGAGGAUGCGUCGGGAGGGAAUGAUGAAAGACAGUGAUAUGUGGACUGAUAAACUUAGAGAUUUGAGGCUGUGGGCUUCCUACCGAGGCCAGACACUAUCACGGACAGUUAGAGGAAUGAUGUACUACUAUCGGGCCCUCAAGAUGUUGACUUUUCUGGAUUCUGCAUCAGAAAUGGAUAUUCGAGAGGGUUCACGCGAACUUGUUUCAGUGAGGCAAGAUAAUUUAGACAGUUUCAACUCUGAAAGGUCACCUUACUCUAAGAAUUUAAGUAGAGCAAGCAGUUCAGUAAGUUUGUUAUUCAAAGGCCACGAGUAUGGGACUGCUCUGAUGAAAUUCACGUAUGUGGUUGCUUGCCAGAUAUAUGGAACCCAGAAGGAAAAGAAGGAUCCUCAGGCUGAUGAAAUUUUGCAUCUGAUGAAAAACAAUGAGGCACUUCGAGUUGCAUAUGUGGAUGAGAGAACUACUGGAAGGGACGAGAAAGAGUAUUUCUCUGUCCUCGUUAAGUACGAUCAACAGUUGGACAGAGAGGUAGAAAUAUACAGAGUAAAAUUGCCCGGUCCCUUGAAGCUUGGGGAAGGAAAACCGGAAAAUCAAAACCACGCAAUCAUCUUCACUCGCGGUGACGCCGUGCAAACUAUUGACAUGAAUCAGGACAACUACUUUGAGGAGGCACUCAAAAUGAGGAACCUACUGGAAGAGUACAAGCGUUAUUACGGGAAUCGAAAACCAACAAUUUUAGGAGUCAGGGAGCACAUUUUCACUGGAUCCGUGUCCUCUCUUGCCUGGUUCAUGUCAGCCCAGGAGACAAGUUUCGUCACCUUAGGACAGAGGGUUUUGGCUAAUCCAUUGAAAGUUAGAAUGCAUUACGGUCAUCCCGAUGUGUUCAACAGAUUUUGGUUCUUAACUCGAGGUGGUAUCAGCAAAGCUUCCAGAGUGAUCAACAUUAGUGAGGAUAUUUUUGCCGGGUUCAAUUGUACUCUUCGUGGAGGUAAUGUCACUCAUCAUGAAUACAUUCAAGUUGGAAAGGGGAGGGAUGUUGGAUUGAAUCAAGUAUCGAUGUUUGAAGCCAAGGUUGCAAGCGGAAAUGGCGAGCAAGUCUUGAGCAGAGAUGUGUACAGGUUGGGUCAUAGGCUGGAUUUUUUCCGGAUGCUGUCAUUCUUCUACACCACUGUGGGGUUCUUCUUCAACACGAUGAUGGUGGUUCUGACUGUAUAUGCCUUCUUAUGGGGUCGACUAUAUCUCGCCCUUAGUGGUGUUGAGAAAUCAAUGGAAAGUAACAGCAAUAACAAUAAAGCACUUGGUACCAUCUUAAAUCAGCAGUUUAUCAUCCAACUUGGACUUUUCACCGCCCUUCCAAUGAUUGUGGAAAAUUCCCUUGAGCACGGGUUCCUUGAAGCUAUCUGGGACUUCUUGACUAUGCAGCUCCAGCUUUCAUCAGUUUUCUACACUUUCUCUAUGGGCACUCGCAGCCAUUUUUUUGGCCGGACUGUUCUGCACGGUGGUGCAAAAUAUCGAGCCACUGGCCGUGGUUUUGUUGUAGAGCACAAGAGUUUUGCCGAAAUCUAUAGACUCUUUGCCCGUAGCCAUUUUGUGAAAGCAAUUGAACUGGGGCUAAUACUUGUAAUAUAUGCAACACACAGUCCUGUAGCGACUGACACAUUUGUUUAUAUAGCCCUGACCAUUACUAGUUGGUUCUUAGUUGCAUCAUGGGUGGUGGCACCGUUUUUGUUCAAUCCCUCUGGUUUUGAUUGGUUAAAAACUGUUUAUGAUUUUGACGACUUUAUGAACUGGAUUUGGUACAGUGGAAGUGUGUUUGCUAAAGCUGAACAGAGCUGGGAGAGGUGGUGGUAUGAAGAGCAAGAUCAUCUAAAGGUAACCGGCCUUUGGGGAAAGCUUUUGGAAAUAAUCUUAGACCUCCGGUUCUUCUUUUUCCAGUAUGGAAUUGUCUACCAGCUUGGCAUUUCUGCUGGAAAUAACAGUAUCGCUGUUUACUUGCUAUCGUGGAUUUACGUUGUUGUUGUAUCUGGGAUUUAUGCUGUGGUAGUGUAUGCACGGAACAAAUAUUCGGCAAAAGAGCAUAUCUAUUACCGGCUUGUUCAGUUCCUUGUCAUAAUUCUUGCAAUACUCGUGGUAGUUGCUUUGCUGGAAUUCACGAAAUUCAAAUUCGUGGAUAUUCUUACUAGCCUGUUGGCAUUCCUUCCCACAGGAUGGGGCCUGAUAUUGAUUGCCCAAGUUUUCCGACCAUUCUUGCAGUCUACUAUCAUUUGGAGCGGUGUUGUUGCAGUAGCUCGUUUAUAUGAUAUAUUGUUUGGAGUCAUUGUUAUGACCCCUGUUGCAUUACUAUCAUGGCUGCCUGGCUUUCAAAAUAUGCAAACUAGAAUUCUUUUCAAUGAAGCAUUCAGCAGGGGCCUACGCAUAUCCCAGAUUGUUACGGGGAAGAAGUCUCAAAGUUGACUAUGAAGCAAGGGUUGGAAUCAGUGGAGUGCCUUUUACAUCACGUGGUUUAUGGAGCUAGACUUGAGACGUCUGUAUAUGGGUUGGAAUCAAUGGAGUGCCUUUUACAUCACGUGGUUUAUGGAGCUAGACUUGAGACGUCUGUAUAUGGAUUGACAUUGGAAAUAUAUGAAGGGAGAGGAUAUAGAAGACUAGAGGCAAGACUUGCUCUGUGUUCCCCAAUUUUCCUCUGGUUCUUGUUGUGAUUAUUAUAUUUUGUCUUUACUUAGUGGUGGAAGAGGAGAAUAUUAUUUUCUGAUUUUCUUUGAUGGCCUUUGUAAUUAGUCAAUUCUCGUGUUUAAAAUUGAUUUUGGUA